rnacentral:rRNA from 1 species
ACGAACGCUGGCGGCGUGCCUAAUCCAUGCAAGUAGAACGCUGAAGAGAGGAGCUUGCUCUUCUUGGAUGAGUUGCGAACGGGUGAGUAACGCGUAGGUAACCUGCCUUGUAGCGGGGGAUAACUAUUGGAAACGAUAGCUAAUACCGCAUAACAAUGGAUGACCCAUGUCAUUUAUUUGAAAGGGGCAAAUGCUCCACUACAAGAUGGACCUGCGUUGUAUUAGCUAGUAGGUGAGGUAACGGCUCACCUAGGCGACGAUACAUAGCCGACCUGAGAGGGUGAUCGGCCACACUGGGACUGAGACACGGCCCAGACUCCUACGGGAGGCAGCAGUAGGGAAUCUUCGGCAAUGGGGGCAACCCUGACCGAGCAACGCCGCGUGAGUGAAGAAGGUUUUCGGAUCGUAAAGCUCUGUUGUAAGUCAAGAACGAGUGUGAGAGUGGAAAGUUCACACUGUGACGGUAGCUUACCAGAAAGGGACGGCUAACUACGU